GCCAGACUCCUACGGGAGGCAGCAGUGGGGAAUAUUGCACAAUGGGGGGAACCCUGAUGCAGCGACGCCGCGUGAGUGAAGAAGUAUUUCGGUAUGUAAAGCUCUAUCAGCAGGGAAGAAAAUGACGGUACCUGACUAAGAAGCCCCGGCUAACUACGUGCCAGCAGCCGCGGUAAUACGUAGGGGGCAAGCGUUAUCCGGAUUCACUGGGUGUAAAGGGAGCGUAGACGGCCAUGCAAGCCUGGAGUGAAAGCCCGGGGCCCAACCCCGGGACUGCUCUGGGAACUGUGCGGCUGGAGUGCGGGAGGGGCAGGCGGAAUUCCUGGUGUAGCGGUGAAAUGCGUAGGUAUCAGGAGGAACACCGGCGGCGAAGGCGGCCUGCUGGACCGCGACUGACGUUGAGGCUCGAAAGCGUGGGGAGCAAACAGGAUUAGAUACCCCCGUAUUG
rnacentral:rRNA from 1 species